rnacentral:rRNA from 1 species
AGUCAAUAGAUACCCCGGUAGUCCUAGCCGUAAACGAUACUCGCUAGGUGUCGGCCACGGUGCGACCGUUGUCGGUGCCGUAGGGAGGCCGUGAAGCGAGCCACCUGGGAAGUACGGCCGCAAGGCUGAAACUUAAAGGAAUUGGCGGGGGAGCACCACAACGGGUGGAGCUUGCGGUUUAAUUGGAUUCAACGCCGGAAAUCUUACCGGGACCGACAGCGAUAUGAAGGCCAGGCUGAAGACUUUGCCGGAUUAGCUGAGAGGUGGUGCAUGGCCGUCGUCAGUUCGUACUGUGAAAGCAUCCUGUUAAGUCAGGCAACGAGCGAGACCCACGCCCACAGUUGCCAGCGUACUCUCCGGAGUGACGGGUACACUGUGGGGACCGCCGCUGCUAAAGCGGAGGAAGGAAUGGGCAACGGUAGGUCAGUAUGCCCCGAAUAUCCCGGGGCUACACGCGAGCUACAAUGGUUGGUACAAUGGGUAUCUACCCCGAAAGGGGUAUGGAAAUCUCCUAAAUCCAAUCUUAGUUCGGAUUGAGGGCUGCAACUCG